UACAGAAGCCCCAAGCGUUACCCGGAAUCACUGGGCGUAAAGGGUGCGUAGGCGGUUAUAUUAGUCGGAUGUUAAAUCCCGGGGCUCAACCUCGGAAUCGCAUUCGAAACGGUAUGACUAGGAGGAGUGAGAGGUGUGCGGAACUCAAGGUGUAGGGGUGAAAUCCGCUGAUGUCUUGGGGAACACCAAAUGCGAAGGCAGCACACUGGCACUCUCUCGACGCGGAGGCACGAAAGCGUGGGUAGAGAAUGGG
rnacentral:misc_RNA from 1 species